rnacentral:lncRNA from 1 species
AGAGAGAGAGAGAGAGAGAGAGGACUUUAUCAGUAAGUAAGAAGUCUUAGUGAUAACGGUUUUUUGAGAGGUGAGACAUGGGAUUCUAGUGUAAUGAGUGAGCCCACGAGCCAGUAGAGAGAGAAUGCUCCCUUUUACCCCCCUUCCUCUCUCUCUCUCUCCCCUUCUGGUAAGAUUUGGGGUUUGAUUCCCUAACUUUGGAUCACAGGAUCUCUGCAACUCCUCUUUCCAAGGCACCUAAAAGUCGUAAAAACCGAGCACAUGCAAAUGGUUGCGCAACAGGGGGCCUUUCUCUCUCUAACCGACGACGAGUUAAAAAACGGAGACUUCUAUCUCUAUGUCCGUGCCAACAAAUAUUGAAAUGGGUCCUUUUGUCUGCUACUGCUAUUAUCAAACGCAUUCUGUACCCAAGGGGCCCUUUCUCUCCUUUUUCAACGAGAUAAAAUCCAAUGCAAAAAUCAAGAAAUCAAUGGGUUUUUGGAUUUAGGAUGGCCCCCUACCGUUGCUCUUGCAAGGAAAGGAAGUUAAAAGUUUUCCAGUUUCUUGAGUGGUUGUGGUGACGCCCCAAAACUUCAUUUUGGGGGAAUUCGAUUUUCUGAGAGAGAGAGAGAGAG